GCGCACCAGGCGCGAAACCUUCGCAAUGCAGGAAACUGCGACGAGGGAGCUCCAAGUGCCUACGCUCAGCGUAGGCUGUUCUCAAGCCUAGAAAGCUUGAGGAGUAAGGGCUGGGUAAGACGGGUGCCAUCUGUGGUAGCAGUCAAUAGAUUCGAUUUGUUACUGCAAGGCAUAAGCCGCCGCGGUAAUACCCCGCAGCCCAAGUGGUGGCCGCUUUUAUUGGGCCUAAAGCGUCCGUAGCCGGCCCGGUAAAUGCCUGGGUAAAUCGUGGAGCCCAACUUCACGAAUUCCGGGUAGACUGCCGAGCUCGGGACCGGAAGAGGGAGAGGGUACUUCAGGGGUAGGGGUGAAAAUUUCCUUUCCAUUAACGCUUUGCGCGAAGCGGAAAGGGUUAUCACAAUCCCUGUAAUCCCCGGAGGACCGACCCGU
rnacentral:rRNA from 1 species